UAAGGAAUAUUGGUCAAUGGGCGGAAGCCUGAACCAGCCAUGCCGCGUGCAGGAAGACGGCCCUACGGGUUGUAAACUGCUUUUAUACGGGAAUAAACCUAUCUAUGUAUAGAUAGCUGAAUGUACUGUAAGAAUAAGGAUCGGCUAACUCCGUGCCAGCAGCCGCGGUAAUACGGAGGAUCCAAGCGUUAUCCGGAUUUAUUGGGUUUAAAGGGUGCGUAGGCGGCCAAUUAAGUCAGGGGUGAAAGACGGUAGCUUAACUAUCGCAGUGCCUUUGAUACUGAUUGGCUUGAAUGUACUUGAGGUAGGCGGAAUGUGACAAGUAGUGGUGAAAUGCAUAGAUAUGUCACAGAACACCAAUUGCGAAGGCAGCUUACUAAAGUAUGAUUGACGCUGAGGCACGAAAGCGUGGGGAUCAAACAGG
rnacentral:rRNA from 1 species